GGGUUUUCAAAUUUUUAUUCAUCAUAUAUAUUUUAAGAUAUGUAAUAACAAGUUACAAUAACAGAACAAUAUAAAAUUUCAAACAAUAGUCCCUAUGUUGAAUGUUUCUUAUAAUGUUUAUACUAAAGCACUAAAUCAAUAAGUUAUUUUACACAACAGUUAAAGCACACUUGUUUAAAUGUCACAAGAGAAUAUGAUUUUAAAUAAACAUAUAAAGCAC
rnacentral:lncRNA from 1 species